rnacentral:rRNA from 1 species
GACGAACGCUGGCGGCGUGCCUAAUACAUGCAAGUAGAACGCUGAAGAGAGGAGCUUACUCUUCUUGGAUGAGUUGCGAACGGGUGAGUAACGCGUAGGUAACCUGCCUUGCAGCGGGGGAUAACUAUUGGAAACGAUAGCUAAUACCGCAUAACAAUGGAUGACACAUGUCAUUUAUUUGAAAGGGGCAAUUGCUCCACUACAAGAUGGACCUGCGUUGUAUUAGCUAGUAGGUGAGGUAAUGGCUCACCUAGGCGACGAUACAUAGCCGACCUGAGAGGGUGAUCGGCCACACUGGGACUGAGACACGGCCCAGACUCCUACGGGAGGCAGCAGUAGGGAAUCUUCGGCAAUGGGGGCAACCCUGACCGAGCAACGCCGCGUGAGUGAAGAAGGUUUUCGGAUCGUAAAGCUCUGUUGUAAGUCAAGAACGGGUGUGAGAGUGGAAAGUUCACACUGUGACGGUAGCUUACCAGAAAGGGACGGCUAACUACGUG